GCCUUCGUAGCUCAGUGGAUAGAGCGUCCCUCUCCUAAAGGGUGUGCGCGGGUUCGAUUCCCGCCGAGGGCA
rnacentral:tRNA from 1 species